UUCCAUGGUGGGCCGUGUGGGGACACCCGAAAGGGUGUGCCGGUUCCUAAGCCCGGUUCGCCAACCCCGCACGGUCUGCCGCCCCC
rnacentral:antisense_RNA from 1 species